UACCUCAUUGCCCUGCGAGAAUUAAGGAUUUACCUCUGCGAUGAGUUGACCCACUUGUCCAUCCCCCAAAUAUCUGAGUCAGAGUGGGAUUCCACUUCUUCACCCUUCUCCUCCUCCGGCACUUGUCCUUCUCCUCUUCCUCUUGAGACAUUGGUUGUAUUCGAUUGCCCUGAUCUUAUCUCCUUCCCAAUUGAUUUAACCCGAACACCUUCUCUCUCUUCCCUGGACAUAUCAUACUGUGAGAAAUUAACCUUCUUGCCCAAGGGGAAGCUUUGUUCUCUUAAAAGAUUAGAUUUGUUAACCAUCGGACCAUUCUCAGAAACCACCACAGAGCUGCAUUCCUUCCUAGACCUCUUUGAUGCUCUCCCACCACCGCACCCCUACUUCCCCUCCCUUUCAGAAUUAUGUCUGCGUGGAUGGCCUCAUUGGGAAUCUCUGCCCGAGCAACUUCAGCAGCUCUCUGCUCUAAGAGAACUUUGGCUAGAUGGUUUUGGAGUAAAAUCAUUGCCUGAUUGGUUUGAGAAGCUUUCCUCACUUGAAACACUCAGUCUCUGCGGUUGUGAAAAGUUAGAGAAUUUCCCCUCUCGCCAAUCUAUGAGAAGCCUCACCAGCCUAACAAAUCUGUGGAUUCAAAGGUGUCCCCUUCUAAAGGAAAGAUGCAAUCCAGAGAGCAGCAGCAGCAACCGCACAGACCGCAAUUCUGAGUGGUCAAAGAUCUCCCACAUUCGCUCCAUUCAUAUUGAUUUCGAGCAGAUCAGAGGCUAAUCUCCAUUUGAAGUUCAUAAAUAAUGUCAGUUUCCCCAAUCAAAGCUACUAGUCUAAAUUUUGCCGAAUAACUGUUGCGAACCUAUCUUUCCUUGGUUCUCUCUGAAUUUCUGCUUUCCAGCUAUUGCAGUUUCCUUUUCCUCAAGAGGACUUGUUCACUUGGUGAGGGCCUUCUAUCUUCAAAAGCGUCCAUCAGGGCUCUUCCAAGGGGAGCUCUUCCUUCUUCUUGAUAUGGAGAAUGUUUUUAGGCGAUUCAUCUCUUAGUUGCAGAUUGUUUGAGAGCUGGACAUCUGAUGAAUGGUCUAAAGAAAUGUUUUCAUGGGGCUAUUACAAGGUUGAUGGAAAAGAUGUCAUGGUUAAUACUCUCCCUUUGCUCAUGUCAUAAAGUCCUCCAGCCUAUCAUGCUAUAUUGAUAAUUGUGAGUCUUUGAAAUGAAUCAGGAAGGAUCAACUUUGUUAGCAGUAUAGUCCUUGAGGAUGGCAAUUCCUGGUGAGAGAGUGUCCAUGCCUUGUAAGGGGAACCUGUUAUGAAAAAUACUUGGUAAAGAACAGAUAUAUGGAUUAGCCAAUACAUGGGAAAGCAGCUGGUUGGAUUUUAAGUCAUGUCUUGCAGAAACAGAAUUCGCCCCCAUUCUGAUGACGAAUGCUGCUAAUGGGGCUUGUCAGCCCUUUAAGGAAACAUAGCUUGGUCUCCUCAAGAAGCUUUCAUUGAUCUGUUGAAGGAUUCUGAGUUGGCACAUCUGAAAAGCUUGAGUGGUAACCCUCGUACCAAUUCAUCAGAAGCCUCCCUAUAGGAUGCAUAUCUUCUGAUCUAAAGGGAAGGUGCUGUAACAAGAGCUGCUGCCCCAACAUUGAAUGGUACUGGCAUUACCAGAUACUCUACUUUGAGAUUGAUCAUAUUCUAAUUGGAUGCUAAGUUGUCAAAAUUUGCUCAAAUUCUCAGAAAAUACUUGUCUAUGCCUAUGUUAUGGAUGCCUCAAUACAGUAUAUACCAUUAUGCUGGCUUCAGUUCUAUGUUAAGGAUGCCUCAAUGCAGUAUACACGAUUAUUGCUACAUGUAAAGUCAAUGAGUAUUACAAUUUAACACAUUGUAACGUAUAUGAUCUUGCACAAUCUAUUUUGAGUUUUGGAAAAUCUGGUGCAGAGAACAUUUGCAAAA